rnacentral:rRNA from 1 species
GUUAAAGUUGCUGCAGUUAAAAAAGCUCGUAGUUGAACGUUCGGGGUUCCGCGGGACGGGGCCGCCCCGCGAGGGACGGCGCCGCCCCGGGGCUCGUGAUAUCUUAUCUCGCCGCCCGUCGCGAGGCGGACGGAGGGGAUGGAUGAGGUUACCUGGAAAAAAUCGGGGCGAUCUAGGCGGGCGAACCUCGCCAACGAACGAUCGGACAUGGGAUAACGGAAGAGGGCGUCGGCUCGACUUCGCGGUUCCUCGGGGCCGAGGCACGUACGGUGAAUAGGGACGGUCGGGGCCGCCCGUACCGGGUCGUGAGAGGUGAAAUUCUAGGAUCGACCCGAGACGAACUGCCGCGAAAGCAUUCGGCAAGGACGCUUUCAUUAAUCAAGAACGAAAGUCGGGGAUCGAAGACGAUCAGAUACCGUCGUAGUCCCGACCGUAAACGAUGCCGACCGAGGGCCCGGAGGAGUUACGUACGACCCUCCGGGCCCUCCGCGAGAAAUCAGGAGUAUUCGGGUUCCGGGGGGAGUAUGGUCGCAA